UACACUCCUGCGGGAGGCAGCAGUGGGGAAUUUUGGCCAAUGGGCGAAAGCCUGAUCCAGCAAUGCCGCGUGUGUGAAGAAGGCCUUCGGGUUGUAAAGCACUUUUGUCCGGAAAGAAAUCCUUGGCUCUAAUACAGUCGGGGGAUGACGGUACCGGAAGAAUAAGCACCGGCUAACUACGUGCCAGCAGCCGCGGUAAUACGUAGGGUGCGAGCGUUAAUCGGAAUUACUGGGCGUAAAGCGUGCGCAGGCGGUUUGCUAAGACCGAUGUGAAAUCCCCGGGCUCAACCUGGGAACUGCAUUGGGGACUGGCAGGCUAGAGUAUGGCAGAGGGGGGUAGAAUUCCACGUGUAGCAGUGAAAUGCGUAGAGAUGUGGAGGAAUACCGAUGGCGAAGGCAGCCCCCUGGGCCAAUACUGACGCUCAUGCACGAAAGCGUGGGGAGCAAACAGGAUUAGAUACCCCAGUAGUCCCAUGA
rnacentral:rRNA from 1 species